AUCAAUAUUUAAGCUCGGCCUUUCUGUUUGUUUGAAAAAUCUUUGUUUAUUAUAUACGAGUGUCUAUAGGUAAGUAUAAAUUAUUAACGAUGUAAAAUAUAAUAUAAAUUUGAUUAAUCAUAACAAUUAUUGAGCCCUGACUAUAUAUAGUGACGUUUUUAUAGUUAAGUUUUUACAAUACCUUCUGUUGCGAGACUGAGUUUGUAACGAAAACGGUAAUUAUGAGUCGACUUUACAUUUUCUCGUUCAUAAAAAAUAUCGUAAUUAAUAAUUAUAUAUAUUAUUGUUUUUAGAAUUUUUCAAGUAUAUGCAAGGUCCGGUCCGACUGUGCAAAAACCAAACAUAAUUAUAUUAAUGUAAUAUUAUAAUACAUUGCAAAUGAUAGGCCAUCGAACUAAGUCGUACACAUAUUUCGUCUGUGGCAUGACGAGUUGUGCAAUUAUUAAGAAAACUUCAAAAAACGACUAGCUCAAAGAAGAAAUUAAUAAUGCAGCUAGAGGAGUUCACACAGUAAAUAAUAAUACUUGUAAUGCAUUGCAGCGGCGCGAAUGAAGGUACGUGUAGUUGGACAAAAAUAGAAAAAAAUAUUUACCAAUUAUCGAUCAAAGAGACCCAAGUACAAUAUUUUUUAAACACAUUAAUUCUUCUAAACAAAGAAAAACAACACCCCAUGACUUCAACGCACGACUCGAACAGUCGAACACGACGCAGGGUUGUAUCCAGUAAAAAAAAAUAUAAUAACUUGGGUUAUGUAUGGUACACGAUGGAUAAUAUAUAACACCGAAAUAACGUUAAAACGCGCGAGUGUAAUAUUAUAGUGGAGAGCGAUGGAAACUUCAUUUUUUUUCCAAACACGAAUUACCCUGUACCACUCUGUAUACACAAUAUAUACACACGCAUCGUGAAGGUACCUAUAUAUACGAUGAACUGUAACUGCAAUUAUUGCAGACUGCUAUUAAUUAUUAUUAUUUAUUAUGUAUUCAUAUUAUGUAUGUAUGCGAGUAUAUAUAGAAUCGUAGAGGAAGUUCUCCGCGGAAGUGUAGACGUCUGCAGCUUGAUAUUAAAUGCAUAAAAAAAAUUCCUAGAAUUAACGAUCCGGACAUAGUAAGACGAUUUAUAUAUAAUAUAUAUAUAGUAUACAUGGCGUUUAAUGUAUGUGUAUAAUAUGUUCGUAUUGUCGAGUCCCGCUAAGUGUAUACCUAUUAUAUUAGAUCAUUACAUCGUUUAAUUCGGUAAAACGCGUGUUUAGUUGUAGCACACAUGUAUCGUUUAUAUAAUCCGUUUAAGUGUAUAUAGAUAUACUUCGGUUUACUUAGAAACUCGUCUAUUCGACUUUCCGUAAAUCGAUGCACAUACUAUUGCAUGUGUAUUAAGUGUAAUUUUAUUUUAUAUAAAGUCUUCCACAGUUAAUAAUAUAAUAUAAUAUAUAUAUAUAUAUAGAACAAAGUUCAAUAUUACGACACAAAAAUAUAUAUUUCAAAUGCGACUCUUAAAAAUUCAUAAAUGAGUGCAUCAAAUUAUUGACUUGUCGCAUUAAUAAAUAAUGCACUCAAUUACUAAAUUUAUCGAGCUAAGUCCGAAAGGGUAUCAUAAUUUUUGGGAAAUUUGUCAGCUAUUUACUAUUAAUCUGUAAAAUGCAUCAUUAUGAAAUGAAUAUAAUAAAUUUAUAUCGUUAUUACAUUAUACAAGAGUUAAACUCCUUAGUUUAUGUCUAGUGUGUUUUUUUUUAAUAUUAUUGAAACCAAAAUUACUUAUAUUAUUUAUAAGGUACCUUUAAUUUUUUUUUCAGUUUUGAAUCGAC